GGCCCUUGGAUGGGAGAAGGUCGAACUACAGCGACUGAAGAUUCAGCUGGUCCACGAGCAGUAGGCGGUCAAGGAUGCCGAGGCAGAGUUCGAGGUUCUGAGGAAGAAGCUUCGGGAGUCGGAGGGCGAAAGCCGACGGUUCCACCAGAUGUACCGGAAGAUGCUGCUAAGAAAGAUGGGACUGAAAGAAGAAGUCGAAAACUUAAAGCAAUCCCUAAUAAUGACUGAAAUCGAGAGCUC
rnacentral:lncRNA from 1 species